rnacentral:rRNA from 1 species
GUGUCAGCAGCCGCGGUAAGACGGACCAUCCAAACGUUAUUCGGAAUUACUGGGCUUAAAGGGUGCGUAGGCGGCGCGGAAAGUUCGGUGUGAAAUCCCUCAGCUUAACUGAGGAAUGGCGCUGAAAACUACCGUGCUCGAGGAAGACAGAGGUAAGCGGAACAGCGGGUGGAGCGGUGAAAUGCGUUGAUAUCCGCUGGAACACCGGUGGCGAAAGCGGCUUACUGGGUCUUUUCUGACGCUGAGGCACGAAAGCUAGGGUAGCGAACGGGAUUAGAUACCCCGGUAGUCCUAGCCGUAAACGAUGAGCACUUGACGGGAGACUCCUCCAUAGGUUUCCGGUCGUAGCGAAAGUGAUAAGUGCUCCGCCUGGGGAGUAUGGCCGCAAGGCUGAA